rnacentral:rRNA from 1 species
UGGGGGAUAUUGCACAAUGGGGGGAACCCUGAUGCAGCGACGCCGCGUGAGUGAAGAAGUAAUUCGUUAUGUAAAGCUCUAUCAGCAGGGAAGAAUAAAUGACGGUACCUGAGUAAGAAGCCCCGGCUAACUACGUGCCAGCAGCCGCGGUAAUACGUAGGGGGCAAGCGUUAUCCGGAUUUACUGGGUGUAAAGGGAGCGUAGACGGCGAUGCAAGCCAGAUGUGAAAGCCCGCGGCUCAACUGCGGUAGUGCAUUUGGAACUGUAUGGCUGGAGUGCAGGAGAGGCAGGCGGAAUUCCUAG